CAGAGAACCUUAUAUUUAAUAUUUAGGAUAGUAUUAGAACGACUCAUAUUAAGGGACUGAAUAGUUUUGAGAAAAUCAAAAGAGUAACAGAUACAUAACGCAACUCAUAAUAAAUUUAGGGGAGCACUAUUUCUGCAUGAGUUUUUGAUAUUUUCGCAUACAUGAAGACGAGACCAACUUUAUCCUACGUGAAAAUAUCAAAAAACACAUCAGUUUCCUAAUUGGACCCAUUUACAAAAUGUUUUUUUUUUUUUGAAAACUUGAACGUUAGGCUGACCGUUGGGUUCAAGGGAAGCACGCAGUUUAAAAACAAACACUCAUUCACAUCAUCUCUUCAAUUCAAUCCCCAUCACAGAAUUUACAACUCCUAGAUAGAUAGAUACUACUAUUAUCUCCCACUAAAGAAAAAUGGGUAUGGUUAUAGUGAUCUCUUUGCCACUGAUUUUAUUUUCUUUACUUCUUGGAUUUGGGUGUUACUUCCUCGGAAGAGCCAAAGGCCGCCAAGAUCUACGCACCCAUGCUCAAGUUUACGGAGUCCCGACACCUCCGCCCGGUAGCGGCAUUGCGGUGGCGGAGGCUUCUUUUCCUUCACCACCGCAGCAGCAUUCCCAUUUCAAAACUGCCGACAAUUUGGCCAUGGCUUGAUUUCAAAAUUAAUAUAAAGAAGGCCCUCCACCAUGAUUAAGGCUUCUACUUGUGUUAUGAUAUUGCAUACUGAUAGUAGUAUUACUACAAGAUUUUGUUGUAUAUUGGUGAGGCAAAUUUGGUUUGGUCAAAGUUUAGUUUGGUUUGGUUUGGUUUGGUUUGGUGUAAAUUAGUGAUUUUGGGUGUUGUAUAAGAUUUGAUUGAUUGGAGUUUCAUAUAUUAUAGAUCUUGAUAAUAUAUUCAAUAACAUUAUAUAGGGUUAUACAACCUGAUAAAAAUAUGCCAAAAAUUUUCAAUUUACACA
rnacentral:lncRNA from 1 species